rnacentral:misc_RNA from 1 species
UUGAAUAUUGCCUUGAUGGGUUGUUGCUGGCUCUUAGCUGAGCAUGUGCACACCUGUCUUGACUAAUUCAUCCACCUGUGCACCUUUUGUAGUCUUUUUGGGGGCUGGGGAAAUUGACAGCUUAGGCUGUCCGUGAACCUCCCACUGGAGACUAUGUUUAUUUCAUAUACCAAUUAGAAUGUAACUGAAUGUUAUCACUGGGCACUUGUGCCUAUAUAAAAUCUAUA